GGUGAUUUGUUAAAAUUAACAGAAGAUACUCAGCUCUCCAAAAAUGGCUUCUUGCAUCAUGCGCAGGUCUUGCUGCUGAGAAAUAGCUGGAGAGGAGCAUGUCUCUCCAUGUACCAAGGAGAAAGAUGAGCAUGAAGGAUCGCUUGAUGGAAGAGUGUGUCUGAGGAUCAGAGGACAGUUCCCAGCAAUCAGUAAAAAAUGGAGAAUGCACUAGAGGUCAGCUCAGCCUCGUUCAUUCUAGACAUGGGCCUUAAGCCAGUCCUCUUACCAUAUAGGAAGCAGAAGAAAGAAGCUAAUUAACAGACCAGGUCAUGCCGGUUUGCCAGAUUCUCUCCAAUGGAGUCUCGAG